GACCUCUAUGGUGGCUAAAGUACUCAAAGCGUCCGCUUCUGAUGCGAGAGGUCGCGGGUUCGAACCACGGUCGAGUCA